CCCUGGGAUCAUGACCCAAGCCGAAGGCAGACUCUUAACGACUGAGCCACCCAGGCGCCCCUGGAGGUUAGAUUUCCUUAAACAUGGUUCAGAUACUCACUUAAAACUCUACUUUCCUUGGUAUGUUUCCUUUUUCAAGGCAUUGAAAACUAAAUAUUUCAGUAAUCGGCCAGGGCCAACACCUGGAUGUCAGCUGCCAAGACCAAACUGUCCAUUGGAAACUCUAAAGGAGCAGUCAAAUCCAGCUGUAGCAACAAAACGGAAGAGAACACAGGCCUUGGAACAAGGAGGAUUACCCAAGAAGCUAAUUUUUUAGUUACAGAGAUCACUGGACAGUAUUUUACUACUGAAGGAAAUAGUCAAGGCAAAUAAUGGAGAAAUAGUAAACGUUUAGUAAAUGCUGUAGAAGGAAUUUGUAAAUAUUCCACACAUGUAAAAUAUGUAAAACUGGAUUAUUUUUAUUAAAUGUAUUUUAAAACAAA